rnacentral:rRNA from 1 species
GACGAACGCUGGCGGCGUGCUUAACACAUGCAAGUCGAACGGAAAGGCCCUGCUUUUGUGGGGUGCUCGAGUGGCGAACGGGUGAGUAACACGUGAGUAACCUGCCCUUGACUUUGGGAUAACUUCAGGAAACUGGGGCUAAUACCGGAUAGGAGCUCCUGCUGCAUGGUGGGGGUUGGAAAGUUUCGGCGGUUGGGGAUGGACUCGCGGCUUAUCAGCUUGUUGGUGGGGUAGUGGCUUACCAAGGCUUCGACGGGUAGCCGGCCUGAGAGGGUGACCGGCCACAUUGGGACUGAGAGACGGCCCAGGCGCCUACGGGAGGCAGCAGGGGGGAAUGUUGCACAAUGGGCGGAAGCGUGAUGCAGCAACGCCGCGUGCGGGAUGACGGCCUUCGGGUUGUAAACCGCUUUCGCCUGUGACGAAGCGUGGGUGACGGUAAUGGGUAAAGAAGCACCGGCUAACUACGU